rnacentral:lncRNA from 1 species
UUCCAUUUUCAGAUCAACUACCCCUAAAACCACGACGAACACCGUACAACGAUGUGCAUAUUAGCGCCUCAUUGCGGCGCUGGAUUUCAGAGCACUACUUCUAUUUUCAGAUCUGAAAGCGCUGCUACCAUUUUGGAAAGCGUCGUUCACCAUUUUCAAAUUAGCAAUGCCACACCUAGAGAAAGCAGUGACAGAGAAGGGGGAGAGAGGAGAGAGAAGAUUGGAAGAAAAGAAUGAAAAAUGAUAUAGGGUUUGAGAACGAAAUUUGAUGAGGUGGAUGGAGGUCGGGUGAGUAUAUAGAUUAAUCUAAUUUUAUAAUGUUAUUAUUAAUAUUGAAUUAUUAUUUGAUUUUUUUAUAAACGAGCUGUAAGUCGAAUUUUUGAAAUAGUAACUUAAAAAAUCUUAUUCUCUAUCAUUUCCACUUAAACUUAAAGACAUCUUUGAUGCAUUGACUUUGCACAUAAUUAAGCCUCAGUUUGGCCCUCAUUCUUAUUCUUUUUUUUCUCUCUCUUAUUUUUAAUUACACAAU